rnacentral:rRNA from 1 species
CCUACGGGUGGCAGCAGUGAGGAAUAUUGGUCAAUGGACGAGAGUCUGAACCAGCCAAGUAGCGUGCAGGAUGACUGCCCUAUGGGUUGUAAACUUCUUUUAUAUGGGAAUAAAACGUUCCACGUGUGGGAUUUUGUAUGUACCAUAUGAAUAAGGAUAGGCUAACUCCGUGCCAGCAGCCGCGGUAAGACGGAGGAUCCGAGCGUUAUCCGGAUUUAUUGGGUUUAAAGGGAGCGUAGGUGGAUUGUUAAGUCAGUUGUGAAAGUUUGCGGCUCAACCGUAAAAUUGCAGUUGAAACUGGCAGUCUUGAGUACAGUAGAGGUGGGCGGAAUUCGUGGUGUAGCGGUGAAAUGCUUAGAUAUCACGAAGAACUCCGAUUGCGAAGGCAGUUCACUGGACUGCAACUGACACUGAGGCUCGAAAGUGUGGGUAUCAAACAGGAUUAGAUACCCGUGUAGUC